rnacentral:rRNA from 1 species
UACGAAGGGGGCUAGCGUUGCUCGGAAUCACUGGGCGUAAAGCGCACGUAGGCGGAUUGUUAAGUCAGGGGUGAAAUCCUGGAGCUCAACUCCAGAACUGCCUUUGAUACUGAAGAUCUUGAGUUCGGGAGAGGUGAGUGGAACUGCGAGUGUAGAGGUGAAAUUCGUAGAUAUUCGCAAGAACACCAGUGGCGAAGGCGGCUCACUGGCCCGAUACUGACGCUGAGGAGCGAAAGCCAGGGGAGCAAACGGG